rnacentral:misc_RNA from 1 species
GAUGAAGAACGUAGCGAAAUGCGAUAAGUAGUGUGAAUUGCAGAAUUCCGUGAAUCAUCGAAUCUUUGAACGCACAUUGCGCCUCCUGGUAAUCCGUGAGGCAUGCCUGUCCGAGCGUCAGUAAAAAGCAACUCGGCCGCGGCUGGCGGUUGGUGAUGGAGGAAGAGCACGUCUCGUUGUCGGUCUCCCCUCCCAAAAUCAACGGCGGAAUGUCACUGGCACUCGGUGUUGUAGUAUUAUUCGCCUAUCACCCAUUGUUGUUCCUGCCGCCCAAACCCCCACAAUUCUCUUGAUUGACCUCGGAUCAGGUAGGGAUACCCGCUGAACUUAAGCAUAUCAAUAAGCGGAGGA